rnacentral:tRNA from 1 species
CAGAGAAUAGUUUAUUUAAAAUAUUAAUUUUGGGGAUUAAAGAAAGAAGGUUUUUUCUCUGA